rnacentral:rRNA from 1 species
AAGCACCGGCUAACUCCGUGCCAGCAGCCGCGGUAAUACGGAGGGUGCGAGCGUUAAUCGGAAUUACUGGGCGUAAAGCGCAUGCAGGUGGUUUGUUAAGUCAGAUGUGAAAGCCCGGGGCUCAACCUCGGAACUGCAUUUGAAACUGGCAGACUAGAGUACUGUAGAGGGGGGUAGAAUUUCAGGUGUAGCGGUGAAAUGCGUAGAGAUCUGAAGGAAUACCGGUGGCGAAGGCGGCCCCCUGGACAGAUACUGACACUCAGAUGCGAAAGCGUGGGGAGCAAACAGGAUUAGAUACCCUGGUAGUCCACGCUGUAAACGAUGUCUACUUGGAGGUUGUGGCCUUGAGCCGUGGCUUUCGGAGCUAACGCGUUAAGUAGACCGCCUGGGGAGUACGGUCGCAAGAUUAAAACUCAAAUGAAUUGACGGGGGCCCGCACAAGCGGUGGAGCAUGUGGUUUAAUUCGAUGCAACGCGAAGAACCUUACCUACUCUUGACAUCCAGAGAAGCCAGCGGAGACGCAGGUGUGCCUUCGGGAACUCUGAGACAGGUGCUGCAUGGCUGUCGUCAGCUCGUGUUGUGAAAUGUUGGGUUAAGUCCCGCAACGAGCGCAACCCUUAUCCUUGUUUGCCAGCGAGUAAUGUCGGGAACUCCAGGGAGACUGCCGGUGAUAAACCGGAGGAAGGUGGGGACGACGUCAAGUCAUCAUGGCCCUUACGAGUAGGGCUACACACGUGCUACAAUGGCGCAUACAGAGGGCGGCCAACUUGCGAAAGUGAGCGAAUCCCAAAAAGUGCGUCGUAGUCCGGAUUGGAGUCUGCAACUCGACUCCAUGAAGUCGGAAUCGCUAGUAAUCGUGGAUCAGAAUGCCACGGUGAAUACGUUCCCGGGCCUUGUACACACCGCCCGUCACACCAUGGGAGUGGGCUGCAAAAGAAGUGGGUAGUUUAACCUUCGGGAGGACGCUCACCACUUUGUGGUUCAUGACUGGGGUGAAGUCGUAACAAGGUAGCGCUAGGGGAACCUGGCGCUGGAUCACCUCCUUA